ACAAGGCAAGUACAAAAGGUAAAAGAUGGCCGAGGCAGAGAGGGAUUUCAAAAAAGGAAGAAAAAAAACCUACAGGAGAACACUCAACAGGCUUGGAGCGGUUACAAACAAACGACUGGCCGCCAAUGCUUCCAGUAAGCAAGAGGAGAACCGCUCAGUCUGAGGUCCCUCGUGGCUUUCAUCUGGGCCUGAUCUGAUGCAAAAAAAACUCAACGCAACUUUGCAUUCUGCUGUAAUGCUGUUGGACAUCAUUGUAAGGACCUGAGAUAGAGUGAUUUAAUGAGGAUGAAGAGCAGGCCAGCCAGCAGGCAGAAGAAGACAGCGACCGGAGCGAGGAGGAAUGAAGGACCGUGCUGGAUGCUGAGGUGGAAGGAGGGGCAGGUGGAG